rnacentral:rRNA from 1 species
AUUGAACGCUGGCGGCAUGCUUUACACAUGCGAGUCGAACGGUAACAGGGAGCUUGCUCCGCUGACGAGUGGCGAACGGGUGAGUAAUAUAUCGGAACGUACCCAAGAGUGGGGGAUAACGUAGCGAAAGUUACGCUAAUACCGCAUACGAUCUAUGGAUGAAAGCAGGGGACCUUCGGGCCUUGUGCUCCUGGAGCGGCCGAUAUCUGAUUAGCUAGUUGGUGAGGUAAAGGCUCACCAAGGCGACGAUCAGUAGCUGGUCUGAGAGGACGACCAGCCACACUGGAACUGAGACACGGUCCAGACUCCUACGGGAGGCAGCAGUGGGGAAUUUUGGACAAUGGGCGCAAGCCUGAUCCAGCAAUGCCGCGUGAGUGAAGAAGGCCUUCGGGUUGUAAAGCUCUUUUGUCAGGGAAGAAACGGCUGUGGCUAAUAUCCACGGCUAAUGACGGUACCUGAAGAAUAAGGACCGGCUAACUACGUGCCAGCCGCCGCGGUAA